rnacentral:Y_RNA from 1 species
GGCUGGUGUGAGUGCUAUGGUGUGACAACUAAUUGAUCACAACCACUUACAGAUUUCUUUGUUCCUUACUCACUCCCACUAAUACUUCACUUGACAAGUCCUAA